UUUAUUUUUGAUUUUUUUUU
rnacentral:sRNA from 1 species